UUUCACGUACGAUUACAUAAAAUAUAAAAUAGGAAAAAUGUCCUCUGACCAACAAUCUUUUUCAAAUCCCAGAGUCACCAUUUUGGCCAUGGCAAUCCAGAUUCAAAGCAGAAACAAGUCUCACCAUAUUUAACUGCAGCUUUAUUAUAAUUAUUCGUGAUCUGUGAAGCUUACUUAGUAGCAGAAGCUGCAGCUGCAUCUGCAUCCUUCUUCAUGUUCUUCAGUGUUAUCUUCCUCCAAGCCCACGCAAGCAUGUUCUUCACCACCCAUUUCUUGCGUCUGCCCCUUCUACUUUUUCCUGUCUACAUAGCAAAAUCAACUCAUCACUUUGAACAGAUGGAUAUGAGUACUGUCCAUGAAGUAGCAGCAGAGGUUAACGAGACAGUAUUAGAAGUAAGAAAAUAAACGUUAGAAGUGACCUUAUUCUUGGUCUCAUCGCCGG
rnacentral:lncRNA from 1 species